UGCCAGCCGCCGCGGUAAUACGGAGGGUGCAAGCGUUGUUCGGAAUUAUUGGGCAUAAAGCGCACGUAGGCGGUCCGUUAAGUUAGGCGUGAAAUCCCCCGGCUCAACCGGGGAACUGCGUUUGAUACUGGCGGACUUGAGGAUGGUAGGGGAAAGUGGAACUCCUGGUGGAGCGGUGGAAUGCGUAGAUAUCAGGAGGAACGCCAGAGGUGAAGACGACUUUCUGGCCUAAUGCUGACGCUGAGGUGCGAAAGCUAGGGUAGCGAACGGGAUUAGAUA
rnacentral:rRNA from 1 species